GUCCUUUUGUAGUUCAUGAGCAUGAUGAUUGGGUGUUCAUGAGCACAUGUGAGAUAUGCCACCCUCUGAACCUUGUUAUGACAUCGUCAUAACAUUACCCGUACAUUACCGUACAUUACCCAUCUGACC
ensembl:snoRNA